CUCUUACAUCACUCAUUCUGGAAAGAUCAGCUGCCAUAUCAUCAAAACACUCAAACACUCCAGUGGAGAAACCCAUCUGGGAAGUGAUUGAGGCCUCUCCAGAAACCUGUAAGGAAGCCAUCUUAGAAGUGGAUCCCUCCAGCCUUGGGCAAACCUUCAGAUGAUGGAAACCCUAGCUGACACCUAACUCCAACUUCAUGAAAGACCUUGAGUCAAAACCGCCCAGCUAAACCACUUCUAAAUUUCAGAUUGACAGAAACUGCCCCAGAGAGUAGCUGGAGCUGGAGCGCUUCGGUGAAGAGCAGACGAUCACAAAAUCGUAGACACUAAAGAUGGAAAAGACCUUUGAGGUCAUUUUGUCCACUCUUGUCAACUCAGUCCUGUUCCCUACAGCAUAUUCUCAGGGGCUUUCAACAGCCAACUUGUAAAUGAUUCCAGCACCACUGGCCCUGCCACUGUCCCCCUGGAGAGACCACUCCACUAUCUAAUAGACCUUUCUGUUAGUCCCUUUUUCUGGCUCCAGGAUGACCAGAUGGAGCCUCAAGAAUGCUUCCCUUCAGAUGUCAGUAUACUAAGCCACAGUCUUUUACACCUCAAUAAUGGAUACCAAUAUCCACUCCAGCCUUUGCCAUGGACAGAACAGCCCUACUUUAACUCCCUAGAUUGUCUUGGAUUUAUGAAACCAAGGAGGGGUUCGUUUCAACCAGGUUUUAUUCAUAUUUGCAACUUAAGAUGCCAGGCAGGUUCUGAUUCCCUGACCUUGGCUCCCAGAACCAAAGGAGAUUAAGAAGUCAACAUCACGAAGAAUGCCAAGCUGAAUCACCGUACCAACUUUCUCCCAAGAAACUCAAAGCCCAAAUACACUAUGGAUCAGGAGUGGUGGCAGCAAAUUCAGGGAUACAGACAAAAGUCCUUUUGAGAUGGAUUUUAUAACCAAGCUCCAAGAUAAAAGCUCCAUGGAGUGGUCAUGAUUUUACCAUUUAGUAAAACCUGCCAAUAGCAGUAUCAACAGACAUGCAAAGACACAUCUGAAAAAGAACUUUCAGCUAAACAAUAUCUAUGAUAUAAUGAUUGAGGUACUCAUGGCCCCUUUUUAAAUCUUUUCUUCUCAGGACUUUCCCAUCCCCUUAAAGUUUAUUUAUUUCAACUAUAUAAUAUGUGAGAACUCAGGGAAAUUAAAAGCUUUAAACACAUUUCUCAUAAACUUUCUUUUUGGUUUUGUAAUUUGUUUCAUUUACUGGUUCUCCUAAAACGAGGUGAAUAAUAAUUCCCCUAUAGAAUGAUGAUUCCCCUUUUCUAAAAGGAAAAGACAUGUUCAGUCCCUUAUAGCUGCAUGGAGUGGAAGGUGCGCAUUUCUGUCUCAGACCAUCUAAGGAUAACCCUGGAUCUGGAAGCUGGAGCUCCCUCACCACUGGCAGACAGGUCAAUCCCUUUUCACAGCUCUCUGAUUUACAGAGGCCAGUGUUACAUGGUGGCUUCAACUAAGUAAUGAGAAUAAAAUUAGUCCUAUUUUGCAGCUGAAGAAGCCAAAGCUCAGAAAGGCUGAGCUCAAGGCCACAAAACAUGGAGGAAGGGAAUCUAACCCAGUGCUCUGCAUCCAAAGGCCAUUCUCCUUUCUCUUCAAAAAGACUCUUUCCUCUAAUGCACAUGAGUUUGCAAGUUUUAAAAUGUGGUAAUUCUUAUACCUCAUAUGAAGAUUCAUCACUUGAACAUUUUUUUCUACACAAACACACUUCAAAAACCAAAACUGAAGUCAAGGUUAAAAGGUAAUUCGAUUAAUAGAUUUUCAUUUUAACCCCAAAAUGUAUGUUAUGUACCUAAUGAACUACAUGAAGAAUACUUGAGAGGAGGCAAGACUCACUUUCUUAAAAACAGCCAAAAAUAUUUACUUUUCAAAAAAUGGAUAAGGAAUUGACUAUAUGAAAAAGGGAUUCUGGGACGCCCUGGGUGGCUCAGUGGUUGAGCGUCUGCCUUCAGGUUAGGGCAUGAUCCUGGGGUCC